ACUAUUUAUACAGAGAAUUGGGUAAAUUCACCAGGCCAACUGGAAGAUAAUUCAUGGCAAUCUUUUGUUUUUGUACCCGAAGACAACUGGUAUAUUGCAAAGAUUCCUCUUUCUCGAUAUUUGCCAACAUGGAGAGGAAAUGUGAUAGAUGCAAAGCUGGAAAUGAAUCAAUCUCGCAUUCUCGGCAUGUCCCUAUCUGUUAAUGCAGAAGGUGGCAUCCCAGGUACCAGGUCAGGAGCAGGUGAUUUCAAAGUUGAAAUUGAUUGGAUCAAAGCCUUGAGAACCCAGUGAGUCACCGUAAAACUUUAUCUUUGGACUACCUCCCCAAAUUUUCUAACUGUGUUGGAGCUCCAGAGGCAUUAACAAGCAGCCCCUGCAUUCUUUGUGAAUUUGUGUUCUUGAAAAUCCCUCCAACAACAAAGACUAGACUACUCUAGUUAAAUCAAGUCCUUGUACUUACAUCUGGAAAUUUUGAUGUGUUAGUAGAAUAUCCUGGAGCUAACAAAUAAUUUUCUAUACUAAUAUAUCGUUCAUGAACUCUCAUCUUUCAGAUUUGUCUAUUAUUUGUUGUUGGAGGGAUUUUCAAGAACAC
rnacentral:misc_RNA from 1 species